rnacentral:rRNA from 1 species
UGGGGAAUUUUCCGCAAUGGGGGCAACCCUGACGGAGCAACGCCGCGUGAGGGAAGACGGUCUGUGGAUUGUAAACCUCUUUUGUUAGGGAAGAAGUUCUGACGGUACCUAACGAAUCAGCAUCGGCUAACUCCGUGCCAGCAGCCGCGGUAAGACGGAGGAUGCAAGCGUUAUCCGGAAUUAUUGGGCGUAAAGCGUCCGUAGGCGGUUAUUUAAGUCUGCUGUCAAAGACCACAGCUCAACUGUGGGCAGGCAGUGGAAACUGAAUAACUUGAGUACGGUAGGGGUAGAGGGAAUUCCCAGUGUAGCGGUGAAAUGCGUAGAUAUUGGGAAGAACACCAGUGGCGAAGGCGCUCUACUGGGCCGUAACUGACGCUGAGGGACGAAAGCUAGGGGAGCGAAAGGGAUUAGAUACCCCCGUAGUCC